GCCGCGCUGACGUUGCCCGGGAUGCGGGCCGGUUCCGUAGCCUCCAGAGCCGCCGCCGCAGCUGCCGCCGCCGCCUCCGCCGUGCCUGCCACCCGGAUUAUCUGCAGUUAUGAAAUGAAGAAACUCAAGAUGAGCAAGUUAAAAGUGAUACCAGAGAAAAGCCUUACCAAUAAUUCUAGGAUUGUGGGACUCCUGGCUCAGCUGGAGAAGAUCAAUGCUGAAUCUUCAGAAUCAGACACUGCCCGAUAUGUUACAUCAAAAAUUCUUCAUCUGGCUCAGAGUCAGGAAAAAACGAGGAGAGAAAUGACAGCCAAAGGUUCUACAGGAAUGGAAAUUCUGCUGUCAACAUUAGAGAACACUAAAGAUCUUCAAACUACACUUAAUAUCUUAAGCAUUCUUGUUGAGCUGGUAUCAGCUGGUGGAGGUCGAAGAGUGAGUUUUUUAGUCACCAAAGGUGGUUCACAAAUAUUGUUGCAGUUACUUAUGAAUGCCAGCAAAGAAUCUCCCCCACAUGAAGAGUUAAUGGUACAGAUUCAUUCUAUUCUUGCAAAGAUUGGACCAAAAGAUAAAAAAUUUGGAGUAAAAGCUAGAAUUAAUGGGGCUCUGAAUAUAACCCUCAAUUUGGUUAAGCAGAAUUUACAGAAUCAUCGCUUGGUUCUACCUUGCCUUCAGCUUCUACGAGUAUAUUCUGCCAACUCUGUGAAUUCAGUAUCCUUAGGGAAAAAUGGAGUCGUGGAACUGAUGUUUAAAAUCAUCGGACCAUUUAGUAAGAAGAAUUCCAGUCUUAUAAAGGUUGCUUUAGACACUCUUGCUGCAUUGCUAAAAUCAAAAACAAAUGCCAGGAGAGCUGUAGACAGAGGAUAUGUCCAAGUGCUUUUAACAAUUUAUGUAGAUUGGCACCGCCAUGAUAAUCGGCAUAGAAACAUGCUCAUUCGAAAAGGAAUUUUACAGAGUUUAAAAAGUGUUACAAACAUCAAGUUGGGAAGAAAAGCAUUUAUUGAUGCCAAUGGGAUGAAAAUUCUGUAUAACACUUCGCAAGAAUGUCUGGCAGUCAGGACUCUUGAUCCUCUUGUCAAUACCUCCAGUCUGAUAAUGAGGAAGUGUUUCCCAAAAAAUCGACUGCCACUCCCGACGAUUAAAAGUUCUUUUCAUUUCCAGUUGCCUGUUAUUCCUGUGACUGGUCCUGUGGCUCAGCUCUACAGCUUACCCCCUGAAGUGGAUGACGUAGUAGAUGAAAGUGAUGACAACGAUGAUAUUGAUGUAGAAGCUGAAAAUGAAACUGAGAAUGAAGAUGACCUAGAUCAAAAUUUUAAGAAUGAUGAUAUUGAAACAGAUAUUAACAAACUAAAACCCCAGCAAGAACUGGGACGAACAAUAGAGGAUCUAAAAAUGUAUGAACACCUUUUCCCUGAGCUUGUUGAUGAUUUUCAGGACUAUGAUUUAAUCUCCAAAGAACCAAAACCUUUUGUAUUUGAGGGAAAAGUACGUGGUCCUAUUGUUGUUCCUACAGCAGGCGAGGAAACAUCUGGGAAUUCUGGCAGUUUAGGAAAAGUUGUAAUGAAGGAGAACAUACCUUCUAGAGGAGAUGAAGGUGAAAAGAAGUCCACCUUUAUGGAUCUAGCAAAAGAAAAUAUUAAAGAUGAUAGAACAUUACAACAGCAGCCAGGUGAUCAAAAUAGAACUAUUUCAUCAGUUCAUGGUUUAAACAAUGAUAUUGUGAAGGCCUUGGACCGAAUUACAUUGCAGAAUAUUCCUUCUCAAACAGCCCCGGGUUUUACUGCAGAAACGAAGAAGGACUGCAGUCUUCCUCUCACUGUCCUUACAUGUGCUAAAGCAUGUCCACACAUGGCCGCUUGUGGAAAUGUCCUGUUUGAGGGAAGAACAGUUCAGCUAGGGAAGCUUUGCUGCACUGGAGUUGAAACUGAAGAUGAAGAUACUGAGUCAAACUCAUCAGUAGAACAAGCAUCAGUUGAAGUACCUGAUGGACCAACCCUCCAUGACCCAGACCUCUAUAUUGAGAUUGUGAAAAAUACAAAGUCUGUCCCAGAAUAUUCAGAGGUGGCUUAUCCUGAUUAUUUUGGUCACAUUCCGCCUCCAUUCAAAGAGCCUAUUUUAGAAAGGCCGUAUGGUGUACAAAGGACAAAAAUUGCUCAAGAUAUUGAAAGGCUAAUACAUCAGAGUGAUAUCAUAGAUCGUGUAGUAUAUGACUUAGAUAACCCAAAUUAUGCCAUUCCAGAAGAAGGAGAUAUUUUGAAAUUUAACUCCAAAUUUGAAUCUGGGAAUUUGCGUAAAGUAAUUCAAAUUAGAAAAAAUGAAUAUGAUCUUAUUCUGAAUUCAGAUAUAAACAGCAAUCAUUACCAUCAGUGGUUUUACUUUGAAGUGAGUGGAAUGCGGCUAGGUGUUGCUUACAGGUUUAACAUCAUUAACUGUGAGAAGUCCAACAGUCAGUUUAAUUAUGGUAUGCAACCACUCAUGUAUUCGGUUCAGGAAGCAUUAAAUGGCAGACCAUGGUGGAUUCGUAUGGGGAUUGACAUUUGUUACUAUAAAAAUCAUUUCUCAAGAAGUUCAGUUGCCGCAGGUGGGCAAAAGGGAAAAUCUUACUAUACAAUUACAUUUACUGUCAAUUUUCCACAUAAAGAUGAUGUUUGCUACUUCGCUUAUCACUAUCCAUAUACAUAUUCAACUUUACAGAUGCAUCUUCAAAAAUUGGAAUCAGCACACAAUCCUCAGCAAAUCUAUUUUCGGAAAGAUGUGUUAUGUGAAACCCUGUCUGGAAACACUUGCCCCUUGGUGACUAUAACAGCAAUGCCAGAGUCUAAUUAUUAUGAACAUCUCUGUCAGUUCAGAAAUCGCCCUUAUGUUUUCUUAUCUGCUCGGGUGCAUCCUGGAGAAACUAAUGCAAGUUGGGUUAUGAAAGGAACGUUGGAAUAUCUCAUGAGCAAUAACCCUACUGCUCAGAGCUUACGAGAAUCGUAUAUUUUUAAAAUCGUCCCUAUGCUAAAUCCAGAUGGUGUCAUCAAUGGAAAUCAUCGCUGUUCUUUAAGUGGAGAGGAUUUAAAUAGGCAGUGGCAAAGUCCAAAUCCAGAUUUACAUCCUACGAUUUACCAUGCUAAGGGGCUGUUGCAAUACCUGGCUGCAGUGAAGCGUUUACCUUUGGUUUAUUGUGAUUAUCAUGGCCAUUCCCGAAAGAAGAAUGUAUUUAUGUAUGGUUGCAGCAUCAAGGAGACAGUGUGGCGUACCAAUGAUAAUGCAACUUCAUGUGAUGUUGUGGAAGAUACGGGAUACAGGACAUUGCCUAAGAUACUAAGCCAUAUUGCCCCAGCAUUUUGCAUGAGCAGCUGUAGCUUCGUAGUGGAAAAAUCUAAAGAAUCCACAGCACGUGUUGUAGUUUGGAGGGAAAUAGGAGUACAAAGAAGUUAUACCAUGGAGAGUACUUUAUGUGGCUGUGAUCAGGGAAAAUACAAGGGUUUACAGAUUGGUACCCGAGAAUUGGAAGAGAUGGGAGCAAAAUUUUGUGUUGGUCUUUUACGUUUGAAAAGACUAACGUCUCCACUAGAGUACAAUCUGCCUUCCAGCCUGCUUGACUUUGAAAAUGAUUUAAUUGAAUCAAGCUGCAAAGUAACUAGGUACUAAGAGAGGUGUUUUCAAGAUUCCCCCAUGAUUGUUAAUGUGUCCACUUCUCCUGUUAGUUCUGUCAGUUUUUGCUUUAUGCAUUACUAUAGAACCUUGGCAGCUCUGAACUUCAGUUUUUGCCUCCAAUCCUUUGAAAUUGCUGACAGCUCUGAUGACUUCUCUGCCUCUAACAGCUGCCCUUGCUUGGCCUGGGUUCCACUGGACUUUGCUCCACGUACCUUUUUUUCUUUGCUGAUUUUGCUUUGUAUCCUUUCACUGUAAUAAGUCGUAACUGAAUUUGACUGUGUGCUGAGUCCUGUGAGUCUUCCUAGCAAAUCACUCCCUCCAGUGGUCUUGGGACCACUGAUAAGCAUGUUCAUUCUGAAUUUCUGUUAAGGUUGGUUAUCCCAGACAGAGAUUCUAAUGUUCUACUGAGAAUGAUCAGAGACAGAUGGUACUCUGAUCCUUUUAUGGAUGUGUGCAGCUGAGGCUCAGAGAGAGAAAUUUACUUGAGGCCAUCCAUCUAGAAAUUCCUGUCAGAAUCAGGAAUUGGAUUGAGGUCUAACUCUAAAAUUCCCAUUUCUUUAUUGUAUCUUGUAUCCCCCAAGUAUAUAUAACCAAAAUUGCUAAAAGAUAAUGGUUUCAAUUUUUGAAAUGCUCUUGUAUAAUUUGGAUAAUUUAAUCAUUUAACACUUUUAUUAUGUAUAAGUAAUGUUUUAGAUCAAUGACAAAAUAAGUUGGUGCUUAGUGACAUAGUUAAUUGCUGCUUUCCAAAGCCAGCUUUAGUCAUACAACUGCUCCUUGACUUACAGUGGGAUUAUGUCCCAAUAACCCACCAUAGGUUGAAAAUACUAUAAGUUAAAAACCUAUUUCCUACAUCUAACUACCAAACAUCAUAGCUUAGUCUAGCCUACAUUAAACAUACUCAGAACACUUAAACAGUAGCCUGCAAUUGGGCAAAAUUAUCUAAGGCAAAGCCUGUUCUAUAAAUAAACUGUUGGAUAUCUCCAGUAACUUAUUGAGUGUUAUACUGAAAGUAAAAAGUGGUUUUGCAGCACUGUAAAGUUAAAAAAUUGUAAGUGGAACUAUUACAAGUCAGGGACUGUCCAUAUAUUUUUUUAAACAAAAGUACAAAUAAAUGAGCACAUUGUUUUUUCAAAUAGAAAAAUAUUCUCUUGUUGGAUAUUCUGUAUGCUAGUUCUUUGUGUGUAUGCGUGUAUGUCUAUGUGCUGUAGCCUUAAGCCUGACAAAAAUUGUUACUUGCAUUUUCUAUGGAUAACCUUGUUUACUUUGUGAUAUUUAGGAGAUGUUAUAUUUAUCUCUCACAACAUAGGAAUAAAAUUUUAUAAAUUAUAUAAAUGAAAUACCUCUGGUAUUUGUACAAAUAGAAAGAUUUUCUUUCAACCUAAAUCUGACAUUUCAAUACAAGAAUAUAAUAUACAAUCAGCAAUUCACAAAUUGCUGAUAAUUUAGACAAUGGCGUAUUUUUCUGUGCAGCAUUUUCAAAAAGUUUUCCCCCAUGAUAUUCCAACUCCAUGGGCAGUGCUUUGCUUUCAUCGUGCCUGUUGUAGGUCAUGGAGCUGAAGAUCUACCUUCUGGUGUCUUGGAUGGCAAAUCAGCUCUUAUGGAAAGAGAUAGCUUAUAUUUGAGGGAGAUGGUGAAUUUUUUAGGUUUAGUUUUAUUUUAUGCUUAAUAGCUUAAUAUGAGGGUAGCCAGAAAACUUUCUGAAUCUGCAUAAAGCAAAAAUUUUUUCUGUUCUCUUUAGAAAUCAGUUGGAAUUAUAAACCUUUUCUGUAUCAUAAUGACACCAUACAGCAGAGAAUUUCAAUGCAUUCAUCCUGUGAGAAAGCCUCUCUGGGUGACAGUUUUGAUGUUUUUAUUUAAGCAGCAUGAACAGGAUUUGGUUUUGGACUAAAAUACUGUAUUCUUUAGAAUGAAAUAUUUCUGAAUUGCUUUUGGCUUAGUCUAUUCAGAGUAGAAGGAGAAACGUUAAGGUAGGUGUACAUAGGGCAGCUGUCAGAGGAAGCAGAACCAGGCAAAAGGAGUAAACUUACGUGAAACAAAUGGGGAAAGCAAGGAAAUGGUGGCAUUAAAACAAAGUAAUCUUGAUGGGAAGUCAUUAAGUACUGGUUAGACUUUAUUUUUCUUAUAAGAAUUUUUGGACUCUUAUCUGCUUAUGUAAAGUGAUUAUUUUAUAACCAUAGGGCAAGUGUUCUUGAAGUCUUUUUUUUUUUUUUAAGUGAAGGUUUUGUGAGAAUCACAGGAAAUAAUGUCUAUGAAAGCAUUUCCUAACUUGUAAAGUGCUCAAAACAAAUGUUGAAAUUAUUAAUAAAAGCAAAGAUGAAUUGCUGUGA